GGCCUAACACAUGCAAGUCGAGCGGUAACAGAUCCAGCUUGCUGGAUGCUGACGAGCGGCGGACGGGUGAGUAAUGCAUAGGAAUCUGCCCGAUAGUGGGGGAUAACCUGGGGAAACCCAGGCUAAUACCGCAUACGUCCUACGGGAGAAAGGGGGCUCCGGCUCCCGCUAUGGGAUGAGCCUAUGUCGGAUUAGCUAGUUGGUGAGGUAACGGCUCACCAAGGCCACGAUCCGUAGCUGGUCUGAGAGGAUGAUCAGCCACAUCGGGACUGAGACACGGCCCGAACUCCUACGGGAGGCAGCAGUGGGGAAUAUUGGACAAUGGGGGAAACCCUGAUCCAGCCAUGCCGCGUGUGUGAAGAAGGCCCUCGGGUUGUAAAGCACUUUCAGCGAGGAAGAACGCCUAGCGGUUAAUACCCGCUAGGAAAGACAUCACUCGCAGAAGAAGCACCGGCUAACUCCGUGCCAGCAGCCGCGGUAAUACGGAGGGUGCAAGCGUUAAUCGGAAUUACUGGGCGUAAAGCGCGCGUAGGUGGCUUGAUAAGCCGGUUGUGAAAGCCCCGGGCUCAACCUGGGAACGGCAUCCGGAACUGUCAAGCUAGAGUGCAGGAGAGGAAGGUAGAAUUCCCGGUGUAGCGGUGAAAUGCGUAGAGAUCGGGAGGAAUACCAGUGGCGAAGGCGGCCUUCUGGACUGACACUGACACUGAGGUGCGAAAGCGUGGGUAGCAAACAGGAUUAGAUACCCUGGUAGUCCACGCCGUAAACGAUGUCGACCAGCCGUUGGGUGCCUAGCGCACUUUGUGGCGAAGUUAACGCGAUAAGUCGACCGCCUGGGGAGUACGGCCGCAAGGUUAAA
rnacentral:rRNA from 1 species